rnacentral:misc_RNA from 1 species
CUUCUCUAUUACACGUUUAAGAUUCACGUUUCCAAAAAUUUAUUUAUAUUUUGUAGAAAUUCCAUUACCAAAAAUGUGAAAAAUAAAUCUGUAGAUGUUACCACCAUAGAAGACGCAGCUGCAUUCAAGGCGCGUCGAUGGAUCGCUGUACGACCGUGCGCACAGAGUUGCCAGCCAGAUGAACGCAUAGCAUCGCAUUUGUUUACAAUAAGCAUAGAUUUGAUAAUUGUUGUUUAAUGCAGACGGAUGCAACAGGAUGAGGGCCCAGUCUCGGAUGAGAGCGGGACCUACAGCCUGAACAAGAAGGCGCAACAAAUUUUGCCGAGUCCCUCACCAAGCUGCCUGCAACUCGAAGCUACUCCGCCUCCGUGGAUCUGUGAUGGGGAUCUGGUAUGAAUACUCUGGCACAGCAACACAACCAGAGAGAUGACAACCCCCUGGCACUGCUUCCUUAAUAGGUGUCUUCUCGCUGGAUCCCACGAAGCCGCUGUAGGAUGCGACAAUCGACACUGAGCGAAGGCGGAAAAGCAGAGAAGGGCAGUCCUCUACGGAUGCCAGCAGCCCGUUUACGGCUGUGAUUUUCGUCAGCUACUCGGAGGACUCCACACAGAGCGGCUGUGGUGCGGCUCCGGCGUUCCUGCACCCAUUGGGUAGUACAAUAUUUGACAUACAGGUCCCUCACCAAGCUGCCUGCAACUCGAAGCUACUCCGCCUCCGUGGAUCUGUGAUGGGGAUCUGGUAUGAAUACUCUGGCACAGCAACACAACCAGAGAGAUGACAACCCCCUGGCACUGCUUCCUUAAUAGGUGUCUUCUCGCUGGAUGCCACGAAGCCGCUGUAGGAUGCGACAAUCGACACUGAGCGAAGGCGGAAAAGCAGAGAAGGGCAGUCCUCUACGGAUGCCAGCAGCCCGUUUACGGCUGUGAUUUUCGUCAGCUACUCGGAGGACUCCACACAGAGCGGCUGUGGUGCGGCUCCGGCGUUCCUGCACCCAUUGGGUAGUACAAUAUUUGACAUACAGGUCCCUCACCAAGCUGCCUGCAACUCGAAGCUACUCCGCCUCCGUGGAUCUGUGAUGGGGAUCUGGUGUCUUCUGGCUGGAUCCCACGAAGACGCUGUAGGAUGCGACAAUCGACACUGAGCGAAGGCGGAAAAGCAGAGAAGGGCAGUCCUCUACGGAUGCCAGGAGCUCGUUUACGGCUGUGAUUUUCGUCAGCUGCUCGGAGGACUCCACACAGAGCGGCUGUGGUGCGGCUCCGGCGUUCCUGCA